CCCCUUCCUCCACCCUCACCUUCAAGGAGACAGAAGCGGUGGGGUCACCCAUUCUUGGACUUGGACCUCGGAAACUGAGUGGACUUUGGCUCAGUAAAUUGUCCUGCCGUCAGCAGAGGUCUUUGCUGGGGUGAUUUACAGCCUAGAAAUCAGCUUUUAAGGUGGCCAUGUUGGCCAUUACAUGCAACGACUCGAAAAGGUGCUUUGUCUAGGAAAGAAGAAAAAUGGUCUGUGAGAGGAAGUUGUUUGCUAAAUCAGUUCUAGCAUGGCUGCGGACAUCACAUGACUGUCACACUCUUCAGAAAGCACAGGGCAAGUCAAGAUCCCUGAAUAUUCUGGACAUGGAAUCCAUCGUGGCAACUAUCAGCUGGAGCUGAGUCCAAGUCAUGGUUACCCCGGCUGUGCUGGACAUCUUUGUGGUCUCCAGGGAGAAAGGGUGUCACUGUAACGUGCCCAGUUGCUGGCUGGGCUUGUCUCAGCCUCCCAACGUCCCUUAAUGGUCAUUGACAACGCAACAGUGCCAGGCAUUGUUGGUCUUUCUGCUGCACAAAGAUUUGCUGGAUCAUUUGACAAGACGGU